rnacentral:piRNA from 2 species
UCUAUGUAUCCUUGAAAACAUAUCAAUUCC